CUGAAGUACUGUACUGCACAGGCAUUUAUCCGGAUACGACCUUCAAAAAGCUGCCUAAACUAACGUUACAUUUCACAUGUGCUUAAAAUACUUUUAUGAGAUGGUUUGCAACUGUAAAGACAUCUAAACGGAUGAACAGUAACACUCUUGUUUCAACUCAGCAAACAAUUAAGAUGACCUAGUAGUUCGCUUGUGCAAGACAGAUUUGAUAAAUACCUCAUUAUGAAUAAUAACAACUUUCAAGCGCCUGCAAGCUGUGGCGGU
ensembl:processed_transcript